CGGAGGAAAAGAAACCAACAGGGAUUGCCUUAGUAACGGCGAGUGAAGCGGCAAAAGCUCAAAUUUGAAAUCUGGCACCUUCGGUGUCCGAGUUGUAAUUUGAAGAAGGUAACUUUGGAGUUGGCUCUUGUCUAUGUUCCUUGGAACAGGACGUCACAGAGGGUGAGAAUCCCGUGCGAUGAGAUGCCCAAUUCUAUGUAAAGUGCUUUCGAAGAGUCGAGUUGUUUGGGAAUGCAGCUCUAAGUGGGUGGUAAAUUCCAUCUAAAGCUAAAUAUUGGCGAGAGACCGAUAGCGAACAAGUACAGUGAUGGAAAGAUGAAAAGAACUUUGAAAAGAGAGUGAAAAAGUACGUGAAAUUGUUGAAAGGGAAGGGCUUGAGAUCAGACUUGGUAUUUUGCGAUCCUUUCCUUCUUGGUUGGGUUCCUCGCAGCUUACUGGGCCAGCAUCGGUUUGGAUGGUAGGAUAAUGACUAAGGAAUGUGGCUCUACUUCGGUGGAGUGUUAUAGCCUUGGUUGAUACUGCCUGUCUAGACCGAGGACUGCGUCUUUUGACUAGGAUGUUGGCAUAAUGAUCUUAAGCCACCCGUCUUGAA
rnacentral:rRNA from 1 species